UACAGAGGGUGCGAGCGUUAAUCGGAGUAACUGGGCGUAAAGGGCGCGUAGGCGGUGAGAUGUGUGUGAUGUGAAAGCCCCGGGCUUAACCUGGGAAGUGCAUCGCAAACUAUUUGACUAGAGUAUAUGAGAGGGUGGCGGAAUUUCCGGUGUAGCGGUGAAAUGCGUAGAGAUCGGAAGGAACGUCGAAUGGCGAAGGCGAGCCACCUGG
rnacentral:rRNA from 1 species